GGCCAGAUGUUCCCCCCCCUCGGCCCGCCCCUCUCCUCCCCAGCCCCCUCCCUCCGGGCGUGGGGCUUCUGCGAUUGACCGAAAGCGGCUGGACCGGUGCUCCCCGCCCGCCCCCAGUCCGCCGGCUGCUCCAAUAGAAGGGCGGCUUUUCAGGAGGGCGGAGGGCGUGGCAGGUAGUCGUCGGACUGACAUGAGGAUCUAGCCAAUGAGAAGGGCAAGCCGGAGCUGCCGCCCGCGCGUGCCAAUCGCAGGCAGCAACUGUUGGGGUGGGCGGGGCCCUGGUUGGGCGGGGGCCGGGAGCGGAGCGGCGCGGGGCGGAGUCCGCGGGCGCAGCGGCGGCGGUGGCAGCGGCGCCCCUCUGGGUGACUUGGCCGUGAGAAAGUGAAAGGAGCCCGCAGGCGGCGGCGACAGCUGCGGUGGGAGGGGCUUGUUUCCAAGCUCCGAGGCCCCGCGCACCCUGGGGUUGCGGAGCUAGCUUUUCGGAGUGCAAGGUUUGUCAAGCCUUUUGGUAGAAGACCCACUUUCAGGCAGACCUGUUUCAGAAAUGAACAGGUUGAAGUGGCCUAAAAAGAGGAGGAGACACGGAAACACAGCUGAGACAAUGAUAAAAAAAGUAAAUGAACAAACUGGAACGCACACAAUAAUGAAAUAAACAGGGAGCAAAUUUCCUGCUUGCAUGAUUUUUAAAACUAUAUGUACUUCAACAGAGCGCAUAACUUACCAAGAAGCCAUUCCUUGAGUUAUAAUUUUGGUGAAACUUGAAUGUAUUAAUUGAAGUCCUAAACUCUGAUAAGUCCUAAGCUGUACAAAAUUCAGCCUGACUCUCAGCUCUGGAAGGCAGAAAUCAGGUUAUCACACACUCCAGAGGCUAGGUUCCUGAAGCAGCUUCGCACGGGGCAUUGGGCUAUAACCCUACACUGAAAACACAAGGAGUCUACACCAGUCACCCAAACUUGUUGAGGGUUCAGGGCAGAGAGAGGCAAAUGACACAGUCAUCCCAGAACUGUUUUUCCUGUGUAUCCAGUUUUCAGUUGCUUACUGUAAAUGAAUGCUUUUACACACAGAGUGGACUAAGACAGCCAAGUCAGAGAAUCUAGGAAGAAAGCAAAGAGGUAUUUCAGCAGCCAAGCAAGCCACACCUGUUUUUCUCUUAGCUUCUCUCUGCCGCUGCCCCCACUAUAAAAUGCAUUAUACCUUACAGCACAUGGAAGUAAAAACAUGCAUACAAAAAUGCUUUUCAUAAAAGUUAGCCUUGUGCUUUGAAUAUAUUCAUCAUUCACUGUGUGCGUCAUCUCAGGCACCUUUUCAACCCCAGGCUGACUGUCUCCCUUGCUGCACCGGAUGCCUUCCUGCCAUCCGUUUCUGAGAGUUCAAUCAGUUAAAAAUCACUGAAAUGUCAUCCUAACAAAUCAAAUUUAUAUAGAUAAGUCUACCAUCCCUGCAAGUCACAAAUACCUCCCGAACCAGAUGUUGGAAUUUGUCUGUUGUGUUGGAGGUUGCAUUAAUUUGGAUCAUUAAAAGGUACUUUCAUUUUAUCUGUGUUUUUUUCUUUUAACUUAAUCUAAACCUAUUACUUUUUCAGAUGAGUAGCCUCCGUUAAAGAAAGAUUUAAUAUGAACCUGUGACUUUCAUGCUCCUUUUUUCUCAAUCAUGUCUUUAAGGGGUAAUGGUUGUUCUAAAAUUAUAUAUAGUAAAUGGAAGUGGUUUGUUUUGUUGCAGAUGAAAGAAUAAAGCUUCUAACUCCUUAAAUGUUAAUAUUCUUAAUUAUAUCAAGUGCUUAAAUUGGAUUUUGUAGAAAUUCAGGGUGGACAUGAACUUAGAAAAGAUGAAGAGAACAAGAGUGAUUCCCAGUGGGUACUGACCUUGCACACCUACUGUGUUAGGUGCUGUGCUUCUGACCAAAUGAUAGACACCUUGCCUCUCUGCGUGCAUUCCAAAACAGGGAGAGAAUUUUCCCUUCCUUCUGUGCUUGCUCCACUCUUGAAUGCAACACCUGCUUGGACUUUAAACCAGCAGAAGGAAAAAUGGUGCAUCCAGAAGUUAUUUACUGAGAACGUAUAAUACAUUAGAGAAACAGAACCACAUUAUCACAGGGCUUGUAGAAUUUCCAUCGUGUGCUGGAUGCCAACAAUACAUGAAAUAUCAUUCUCCAUUAUAUUUAUGACUUCACUAUGUGUAAAUGUCACUGGGAACCCACUGGACAAAGGUGAGAUUUCAUAUUGUUGGUGUUUAAUAAAUUCAUACCAGUUCUAACCAUUGUUAAUAACAUAAAAGUGUCUUAAUAAAAAUCUUUGGUUAUAAAGAGAUUGUAUAAAUUUAACACAAAAUCUCAGUACAUACCAAGUUCAAACUAUUCCCGGUAGUAAGAGCAGACAUAAGGUUAAAUCUCACUCCAGAAAUUUACUUUGUCCUUAGCGAUAACAUGCAACUCAGGAAGUUACUUCUCUUACAAAGAACUAGCAUUUAUGCUUAAGACUAAAAUGAUUAUUUUUAAAGUAUCCAUUUUACAAUGCAAAUGUGUAUCUAAAUUAAACUCAGUAAAAAUAAGCAUUUUAAACUGAAGCUGCAGUAAUGGCUUUAUGGGAGACAAUAGGGAAAGUGGUUCUUGAAUGCGAACUCAGAGCAAACAGAUUUCAAAUUCCUCUUAGGGGACUUAACGCUCU